rnacentral:rRNA from 1 species
UACGGAGGGAGCUAGCGUUGUUCGGAUAUACUGGGCGUAAAGCGCACGUAGGCGGCGCGGUAAGUCAGGGGUGAAAUCCCGGAGCUCAACUCCGGAAUUGCCCUUGAAACUGCAGUGCUAGAAUCCUGGAGAGGCGAGUGGAAUUCCGAGUGUAGAGGUGAAAUUCGUAGAUAUUCGCAAGAACACCAGUGGCGAAGGCGGCUCACUGGCCCGGUACUGACGCUGAGGUGCGAAAGCGUGGGGAGCAAACAGGG